GUCCACGCUGUAAACGAUGGGCACUAGGUGUGGGGGGUGUCGACUCCCUCCGUGCCGAAGCUAACGCAUUAAGUGCCCCGCCUGGGGAGUACGGCCGCAAGGCUAAAACUCAAAGGAAUUGACGGGGGCCCGCACAAGCAGCGGAGCAUGUGGUUUAAUUCGACGCAACGCGAAGAACCUUACCUGGGCUUGACAUGUGCCUGACCCCCCUGGAAACAGGGGUUCCCUUCGGGGCAGGUUCACAGGUGGUGCAUGGCUGUCGU
rnacentral:rRNA from 1 species